rnacentral:rRNA from 1 species
AACGAACGCUGGCGGCAGGCUUAACACAUGCAAGUCGAGCGCCCCGCAAGGGGAGCGGCAGACGGGUGAGUAACGCGUGGGAAUCUCCCCAUCCCUACGGAAUAACGCAUGGAAACGUGUGCUAAUACCGUAUGCGUCCUUCGGGAGACCGCUUUAUCGGAGAUGGACGAGCCCGCGUUGGAUUAGCUAGUUGGUGGGGUAAAGGCCUACCAAGGCGACGAUCCACAGCUGGUCUGAGAGGAUGAUCAGCCACACUGGGACUGAGACACGGCCCAGACUCCUACGGGAGGCAGCAGUGGGGAAUAUUGGACAAUGGGCGCAAGCCUGAUCCAGCCAUGCCGCGUGAGGGAUGAAGGCCCUAGGGUUGUAAAGCUCUUUCACCGGUGAAGAUAAUGACGGUAACCGGAGAAGAAGCCCCGGCUAACUUCGUGCCAGCAGCCGCCGCCGUAA